rnacentral:rRNA from 1 species
UUAGCGGCGGACGGGUGAGUAACACGUGGGUAACCUACCUAUAAGACUGGGAUAACUUCCGGAAACCGGAGCUAAUACCGGAUAAUAUUUCCAACCGCAUGGUUCGAUAGUGAAAGAUGGCUUUGCUAUCACUUAUAGAUGGACCUGCGCCGUAUUAGCUAGUUGGUAAGGUAACGGCUUACCAAGGCACCAAUACGUAGCCGACCUGAGAGGGUGAUCGGCCACACUGGAACUGAGACACGGUCCAGACUCCUACGGAGGCAGCAGUAGGGAAUCUUCCGCAAUGGGCGAAAGCCUGACGGAGCAACGCCGCGUGAGUGAUGAAGGUCUUCGGAUCGUAAAACUCUGUUAUUAGGGAAGAACAAACGUGUAAGUAACUGUGCACGUCUUGACGGUACCUAAUCAGAAAGCCACGGCUAACUACGUGCCAGCAGCCGCGGAAAUACGUAGGUGGCAAGCGUUAUCCGGAAUUA